UCAUUGCUGGAACAAACGCCCUCACGGGUGCUACCCAGAAACCCUUUGUGAACUAUACCUUUUGUUGCCUCGGCAUUGGUUGGCUCUGAAUAGAGUCCCUUGCCCCUCUGGGGGUGAGGAGCAGACCGGUCGACGGCCCUGUAAAACUCUUGUUUUUGUAUUAUCUUCUGAGUAAACAACUAUAAAUGAAUCAAAACUUUCAACAACGGAUCUCUUGGUUCUGGCAUCGAUGAAGAACGCAGCGAAAUGCGAUAAGUAAUGUGAAUUGCAGAAUUCAGUGAAUCAUCGAAUCUUUGAACGCACAUUGCGCCCGGUGGUAUUCCACCGGGCAUGCCUGUUCGAGCGUCAUUUCAACCCUAAAAGCUUAGGCUUUUGUGCUGGAGGAAAACCUGUUACAGGGUUCCCUCUCAAAUGCAUUGGCGGGCUCGCUAGAAUUUUGAGCGUAGUAAUUUUAUCUCGUUUGUAAAGACUAGUGGGUGCUGGCCGUGAAACCCCCAACUUUCUGA
rnacentral:rRNA from 1 species